CCUACGGGGGACAGCAGUGAGGAAUAUUGGUCAAUGGCCGGGAGCCUGAACCAGCCAAGUAGCGUGCGGGAUGAAGGCCCUACGGGUCGUAAACCGCUUUUGCACGGGGAUAACACCCUCGACGUGUCGCGCUCUGCGAGUACCGUGCGAAUAAGCGCCGGCUAAUUCCGUGCCAGCAGCCGCGGUAAUACGGAAGACCCGAGCGUUAUCCGGAUUCAUUGGGCUUAAAGGGAGCGCAGGCGGGAGCGCAAGUCAGCGGUAAAAUCGAGCGGCUCAACCUCGCCCCGCAGUUGAAACUGCGUGUCUUGAGUGGACGAGAGGUACGCGGAAUGCGUGGUGUAGCGGUGAAAUGCAUAGAUAUCACGAGGAACUCCGAUUGCGAAGGCAGCGUGCCGGGGUGCGACUGACGCUGAGGCACGAAGGUGCGGGUAUCGAACAGGAUUAGAUACCCCAGUAGUC
rnacentral:rRNA from 1 species